rnacentral:lncRNA from 1 species
UGACCUGGCAAGAUAUAAAUUCAUUCUGGGCCACUGGCAAGAUUUUGACCAACAUCAAUCACUAAACUGUUCUCUACUCUUCAGUCCCUUGACUCUUUCAAUAUCCUCUCUUAUCAGUGAGCCAAGGUGGUAGAGUUGCAGCAAACAAUACAGUGAAGAGCUCCCUGCCAAAUUUCUCCAAACACAUGCAAAAAAUGCACCAGCCCAAAGCUUGUUGGGACAAUCCAGAAAAAGAUACAGUAAUAUUUGCAUAAGGAUAUGGACUGGACAUGAGAUUUCUCCCAGAUGAAGAAAUCCCUCCAGCAAUGCAGUUUGUUUAUGGCUGAUUAGUUUCAUGGCCCACAGCAUACUGCCUCAAAUUUGUGGAUUUGAAUCCUAUGUGGAAUCUUACAUGAAACAGGAAUGUCCUCUGCAAGUUCAGCAAGCAAAUUGCACAAUUAAAAAGAUGUCAUCCAAGGAUGUGGCGUCUCUGCUAAUGGACUGAUUCAUUGCUGGCUGAGUCAACCAAAUCACUCAUCACCUAACUUGGUACUGCUGUUACCAGCUUUCAGUGCUGAAGAGAGAGAGCUUCCAUGGCUCUUCCAAGCCUCUUUUGAGAGCUCACAAGAUUGUCAUCUAGUCUGUUCCAUCUCAGGGAUUUAAGCAUGUUCAUGCUUAAAGCCUUAAACCAAAGGUUAAAGGUGGAAAGGAAGAACAAGAUAGAAAAACUGUCGUGCCAAAGGGAUCAACAAUUAGUGGACUAGGUUGCUCAUAUUGGUGAUCAAUUAAGAUGUGGGGUAGGCCAAGAAUACAAGGAAAUCAGGAAAUCAGAAACUCAUUAGAAGCAGAAAACUGGAACAAAGUGUCUGACUGAUUGUGUGUAUUUGUGUGUAUUUAUGGAAGACCUCAGAAUAUUAGACCAAAUGUUAUAAAAUUAAGGGAAUUAAAUAUCACUCUUCCUCACAGGAAGCCUCCCUAGUCUUAGAGCUGCAG